UACAAGCUUGAAAAUGACACGCCACCAGAAGCGAAAGAUUGACGAGACACAUGUAGAGGGUCAUGAAGAGCUUGAUGCUGCCAGCUUGCGAGAACAUGAAGAGUUCACAAAAGUGAAAAAUAUAGCAACUAUAGAGCUUGGAAGAUAUGAGAUCGAGACUUGGUACUUUCCACCGGAAUACAAUGAUCGUGUGAAGUUGUACUUCUGUGAGUUUUGCCUCAAUUUCAUGAAGCGUAAAGAACAACUUCAGAGGCAUAUGAGGAAGUGUGAUCUCAAGCAUCCCCCUGGAGAUGAGAUAUACUGAUGUGGUACAUUGUCAAUGUUUGAGGUUGAUGGCAAAAAGAACAAGGUUUAUGGGCAGAAUCUUUGUUUUUUGGCAAAAUUGUUUCUUGAUCACAAGACCCUCUAUUAUGACGUUGACCUCUUUCUGUUCUAUGUAUUGUGUGAAUGCGAUGAUCGAGGAUGACACAUGGUUGGUUAUUUUUCUAAGGAAAAACAUUCAGAGGAGUCUUAUAAUUUAGCAUGUAUCCUCACCCUUCCUCCCUAUCAAAGGAAAGGCUAUGGCAAAUUUCUAAUUGCCUUUUCUUAUGAACUUUCCAAAAAAGAAGGUAAAGUCGGCACACCUGAAAGACCCCUUUCUGAUCUUGGGCUAUUGAGCUACAGAGGAUACUGGACCCGGGUUCUUUUGGACAUAUUGAAAAAGCACAAGGGAAAUAUUUCUAUCAAGGAACUUAGUGACAUGACAGCCAUUAAGGCGGAGGAUAUCCUGGCCACCCUUCAGAGCUUAGAACUGAUUCAGUACAGGAAAGGGCAGCAUGUCAUCUGUGCUGAUCCAAAGGUCUUGGAUCGUCAUCUAAAAGCUGCUGGUCGUGGGGGUCUUGAGGUUGAUGUUAGCAAAUUGAUAUGGACUCCUUAUAAAGAACAAGGUUGAUGUCAAACAAUUUAUCCAGAUACUGGCUGCCAACUUAGACUUGUAACUGACCUCCGAUUGUAUAAAAUAUAAGCUUGAGGGUAUGAAACUGAGUAUUCUUCCUGGAGACUUUCUUGUCAUUAUCCAUCUUAUGACUUUGUAUGUAUGUAUCAACAAAUAAUGAUUAGUAUAUUCUUACUUUAGUAGGUGUAGGCUACAACUGACUUUUUGAUUUUAGAUUUGUGAACUACUUGUUCAGAUGCAUUGUAAUGCUCUUCUGAUGAUGAGACAAAAUGACAAAAAAUUGGGAAGGUGAUCCGUGAGAAUGGAUAAGAUUGAAUUGCCAUCUCUUUGAAAAUGUUUUGUAAAACCAAACGUCUGAGAUCAUUUUAGGCAUAAUUUAUAUCAUCCUUCUUACUUAUGAGUGAAGUAUC